rnacentral:rRNA from 1 species
CCGGGCGACCGGCGCACGGGUGAGUAACACGUAUGCAACCUGCCCUCCGCAGGGGGAUAACCCGGAGAAAUCCGGACUAAUACCGCGUGGUACAUCUGUGGGGCAUCCCACGGGUGUUAAAAGGAAGCGAUUCCGGCGGAGGAUGGGCAUGCGGCGCAUUAGCUAGUUGGCGGGGUAACGGCCCACCAAGGCGACGAUGCGUAGGGGUUCUGAGAGGAAGGUCCCCCACACUGGUACUGAGACACGGACCAGACUCCUACGGAAGGCAGCAG